AACGCGAAGAACCUUACCAAAUCUUGACAUCCCCCUGACCGGACGGUAAUGUGUCCUUUCCUUCGGGACAGGGGAGACAGGUGGUGCAUGGUUGUCGUCAGCUCGUGUCGUGAGAUGUUGGGUUAAGUCCCGCAACGAGCGCAACCCUUAUCCUAAGUAGCCAGCACGUCAUGGUGGGCACUCUGGGGAGACUGCCGGGGAUAACCCGGAGGAAGGUGGGGACGACGUCAAAUCAUCAUGCCCCUUAUGAUUUGGGCUACACACGUGCUACAAUGGCGUAAACAAAGGGAAGCGAAGCCGCGAGGCGGAGCAAAUCCCAAAAAUAACGCCUCAGUUCGGAUUGUAGUCUGCAACUCGACUACAUGAAGCUGGAAUCGCUAGUAAUCGCAAAUCAGAAUGUUGCGGUGAAUACGUUCCCGGGUCUUGUACACACCG
rnacentral:rRNA from 1 species